rnacentral:snoRNA from 15 species
UUGCAGUGAUGACUGUAUCUGUCAAUCCCCUGAGUGCAGUCACUGAUGUCUCUAUGUCUCUGAGCAA